rnacentral:rRNA from 1 species
CCUACGGGAGGCAGCAGUGAGGAAUAUUGGUCAAUGGGCGUAAGCCUGAACCAGCCAAGUCGCGUGAGGGAUGAAGGUUCUAUGGAUCGUAAACCUCUUUUAUAAGGGAAUAAAGUGUGGGACGCGUCCUAUUUUGUAUGUACCUUAUGAAUAAGGAUCGGCUAACUCCGUGCCAGCAGCCGCGGUAAUACGGAGGAUCCGAGCGUUAUCCGGAUUUAUUGGGUUUAAAGGGUGCGUAGGCGGCCAUUUAAGUCAGCGGUUAAAGUCUGUGGCUCAACCAUCGAAUUGCCGUUGAAACUGGGGGGCUUGAGUGUGUUUGAGGCAUGCGGAAUGCGUGGUGUAGCGGUGAAAUGCUUAGAUAUCACGCAGAACCCCGAUUGCGAAGGCAGCCUGCCGAGCCAUGACUGACGCUGAUGCACGAAAGCGUGGGGAUCAAACAGGAUUAGAUACCCUUGUAGUC